rnacentral:rRNA from 1 species
AGUGAACGCUGGCGGUAGGCCUAACACAUGCAAGUCGAACGGCAGCACAGUAAGAGCUUGCUCUUACGGGUGGCGAGUGGCGGACGGGUGAGGAAUACAUCGGAAUCUACUUUUUCGUGGGGGAUAACGUAGGGAAACUUACGCUAAUACCGCAUACGACCUACGGGUGAAAGCAGGGGAUCUUCGGACCUUGCGCGAUUGAAUGAGCCGAUGUCGGAUUAGCUAGUUGGCGGGGUAAAGGCCCACCAAGGCGACGAUCCGUAGCUGGUCUGAGAGGAUGAUCAGCCACACUGGAACUGAGACACGGUCCAGACUCCUACAGGAGGCAGCAGUGGGGAAUAUUGGACAAUGGGCGCAAGCCUGAUCCAGCCAUACCGCGUGGGUGAAGAAGGCCCUCGGGUUGUAAAGCCCUUUUGUUGGGAAAGAAAAGCAGCAGGUUAAUACCCCGCUGUUCUGACGGUACCCAAAGAAUAAGCACCGGCUAACUUCGUG